CUCGGACUUCUCUUGAACUGAAUUUUAAUGUGCGUAUUGUUAUGCGUUUACUUUUCUACAUUGGCUAGAGGUAUAGGGGGAGAGUUGAGAUCUCAUAAACAUGUUUAACCCCUCCGCAAUUUUGCGCCUGUCCCAAUUCAGGAGCCUCUGGCCUUUGUUAGUCUUGUAUGAUUUAUAAUUUUAGUUUCUUGUGUAUAAUUCGGAGUUUAGUAUGACGUCCAUUAUCACUGUACUAGUAUACAUAUUUUUAGGGCCAGCUGAUGGACACCUACGGGUGCGGGAAUUCUCGCUACAUUGAAGACCCAUUGGUGGCCUUCGGCUGUUGUCUGCUCUAUGGUCGGGUUGUUGUCGCUUUGAC
rnacentral:lncRNA from 1 species